rnacentral:rRNA from 1 species
GACGAACGCUGGCGGCGUGCUUAACACAUGCAAGUCGAACGUGAUUUUUGUGGAAAUUCUUUCGGGAAUGGAAAUGAAAUGAAAGUGGCAAACGGGUGAGUAACACGUGAGCAACCUACCUUACACAGGGGGAUAGCCGCUGGAAACGACGAUUAAUACCGCAUGAGACCACAGAAUCGCAUGAUAUAGGGGUCAAAGAUUUAUCGGUGUAAGAAGGGCUCGCGUCUGAUUAGCUAGUUGGAAGGGUAAAGGCCUACCAAGGCGACGAUCAGUAGCCGGUCUGAGAGGAUGAACGGCAACAUUGGAACUGAGACACGGUCCAAACUCCCACGGGGGGCAGCAGUGGGGAAUAUUGAACAAGGGGGGGAACCCUGAUGCAGCGACGCCGGGGGAGCGAAGAAGGUUUUCGAAUCGUAAAGCUCUGUCCUAGGAGAAGAUAAGGGCGGUAUCAAAGGAGGAAGCCCCGGCAAAAUACGU